rnacentral:lncRNA from 1 species
GGUCCUUCCUGCAACCUGCAAAGUCACCUGGAAGGAAGGAGUCUGAACUGAGAUGGAUUUCCAGUGUUCAUUUCCAAUCAAAAGGACUUAAAACUCUGUGUGAGAAGAGCGGUUUAAGGAGGCUGGAGGGAGCUCAGCUCAGCCGGCGGCCACGAAACAAGUGUCUCUCCAUUGUGGAGCUGCCUCGCCAGCUGCUGACAAAGGCGGAGUUUGCAGACAGAUUGAACGUACAGAGGGAUAAAAGUCGCUGGGAGACAAAUACGCACACUCAGAAUUUCCUGAGCUUCAGCUGUUUGGAAGCUCCUGUCAUGAACGCACCUCCAGCAAAGAGAAAGGAGAUGAGCGGGAAGUGGCAGCUGCAGAUAGAGGCUGGGGAGGUUUCCCCAGCGCUGGGACUCCUCUAGAACUCUCCUCCUUCAUCAUGGAAGCUUCCUUUCCAAGUAACUGGUGUGACUCGUGAAUGCAGUGCCUUUACUCCUAAAGGAGCAGGACGCUGGUGGCCUUGCUGCAGGCCGGCUCUCGAUGGCGAUUUCCCCAGAGCCCGCUGGGGGGCUAGCUUGUGCUGGCUAAUGGGGGCCAGUGCCCCUUGGGGGACCAACCCUCCGAGCCUUGGAAGCAUCUCAUGAUCUUUCCCCUUUCUGUACAGGUGGUUGGCGUCCUGUGGGCACAACCACAGGAUCUCAGAGCAGGUCCUGGGCCAAAUUGUCUUCCCGAUAAUAGGACAAGGAGAUGAACUGGGCUGAGGUCCCACUGCAGGCGUCUGUGCUGUUGGCUAACUCCUGCUGCCUAAUCCUUCAGACCCUGCUCUGCUGUCACCUCCUUGGCCUGCGCCCCACGCCUGGCUGAGAUACGGCCUCUUUGUCCUCAUCGCCCAGACUUGCCUCUCCCUCUGCUGAGCACAGCAUAUGGUCUGUCCCUGUUUCCUGUUCUGCCUCACCCAGGAGACUCGGGAGAUCCUCGAGGGGCCUCCGCAGGGUCUGUCCAAUGGAAUGAGUCUGCACCUAAGAUUAUAAAUGGCUCAAGAGCAGAGCAGGGCGGGGACGAGGGUGAACAAGUGAGGCACCCACUCUGGGACUCCCCUAAGCCAGGUAAGCAUCUGAGAGUGCCUGCUUCCCUGUAACACUUCAGCUCUUGGCCCUGGAGCCCAGAAAGGAACACAGAUUCAUUGUUAAGAACCAGCCCCAUGCAGCCACUUUGGAAAACAGUGUGAAAUUCCUAAAAAAAAAUUAAAAAUAGAGCUG